rnacentral:misc_RNA from 1 species
CUCCUUUUUAGAGACAACUCCCGAAGUAAUUAACGGGGCUAUCACAUCUUUCAUUCCCUUCAGGCUAGUCCUGUAGCUCAGUUGGUUAGAGCACUACACUGAUAAUGUAGGGGUCAGCAGUUCAAAUCUGCUCAGGACUACGAACGGAAGGGGGAAUUAGCUCAGCUGGCUAGAGCGCUUGAUUUGCAUUCAAGAGGUCAUCGGUUCGACUCCGAUAUUCUCCACACUGAGGUUCUUUGACAUAUUGGUAGAGUAAAAUUUUUCAUAAGCAACUAAGAGCAACUGGCGGAUGCCUUGGCUCUUGAUGGCGAUGAAGGACGUGAUAAGCUGCGAUAAGCCGUGCUGAGGUGCAAAUGGCCUUUGAGGCACGGAUUUCCGAAUGG